rnacentral:misc_RNA from 1 species
GAUGAAGAACGCAGCGAAAUGCGAUAAGUAAUGUGAAUUGCAGAAUUCAGUGAAUCAUCGAAUCUUUGAACGCACAUUGCGCCCGCCAGUAUUCUGGCGGGCAUGCCUGUUCGAGCGUCAUUACAACCCUCAGGCCCCCGGGCCUGGCGUUGGGGAUCGGCGGAGCCCCCCGUGGGCACACGCCGUCCCCCAAAUGCAGUGGCGGUCCCGCCGCAGCUUCCAUCGCGUAGUAGCUAACACCUCGCGACUGGAGAGCGGCGCGGCCACGCCGUAAAACACCCAACUCUUCUGAAGUUGACCUCGAAUCAGGUAUGAAUACCCGCUGAACUUAAGCAUAUCAAUAAGCGGAGGA